rnacentral:lncRNA from 1 species
AUCAGCCCUUCGUCUGAGGCUUUUUAUUUUCCUAGCUCUCCUUGAGCGGAGGGGGGAAAAAAAUUAUUUCUUGCCCUGGAUGAGAAAGCUCACUGUUUUAUCCAGUCUCCUGCACUCUGAGUGUUAAACAUCUAGCCCACCGAUGACCUCCCACAAUUUCAGAAACUCUCCCGCAGGAAACACAGAGGACAGGAGGGACCAGCAAGGAGGAGAUCCGAAGCCUGAUCCUGCUGGGGCCUGGCCUCUCGGAACUCUGCGGCCAGCCGGCUGUCCUCUGUAAAGUGGAGAAGAUGACAAGACCCGCUCUAUUCCCGAUCUGGGGAGAUGUGAAGAUC